AACUGGGCGCGUGGGUCUCAGUGGGGGCAGUGGAGGAAGAGGGCGCUAGCGCUUUGCAAAUGUGUUUAUCCACGUAUUUAUUGAGAGCCAGAGGUAGACAGGGACAGGGAUCUCACGUGCACUAAUUCACUCCGCCAAAUGCCAGGACGAAGCCAGGAGCCCAGAAUCCAAUCGGGGUCUCCCAGGUGGGUGGCAGAGACCCCUCCCCACCCCGCCGCUUGAGGAUGCGCCUGUUGCCUCUACAAUAGCAGGCAGGCAGCUGGAACUGGACGCAGAGCUGGGAUUCCCACCCCAGUGGCAUCGUAACCGCUGUGCCAAACGCCACUCCUGGGGCAUCUCUUGGGAGACACCCUCUGUGGGGCAGGAAACUGAGCCCAAGAGAAGAAAGGGGAGAAGGUGCUGCAGCAAACCUGCGGCGGGGGCCGGGCAGGGGCUGCACCUGGAUGGUGCCAGCUCACCUGCUCAGCGCCCUGGGAGGUGGGCGUGAACAACCCUCUUCUAUGGAUGAAGGAGCCGAGAGGGAGCUAGGCAGAAUAACACACGCACACCAGGCCUAGCGCCAAGGCGUCAGUCUCCCAAGGCACGUGGCUGAUGGAGAGUCCUCCCUGCCACCAAGACAGACCCUCCCUUGAAGCCCUGCAUGAACCAACAGACUCUUCUGAAGGCUGCCUGCCAGGCUUCGGCCAUGGCCGGGACAGAGGGCACCUCCUAGGGCAGCUCCCCAAAGUCUUGUUGGAAAGCACCGUGUUUGCUAUGGAGAUGGGGAGAUGGGCACAGAGGAAGGGAAGACAUGGAGUGUGGCCCAGGGGAAGGCGCACAACCUGAGGCCCGAAUCCCCGAAUCCCCUACUCUGCCGCGAAGCAGCAGGUGCGGCUCCCAGCCUUGCAGUUACCAGCUGGACGUGAGCUGGGGCGGGGGUGGGGGCGGGGGCGGGGGGCGUUCAGAUUACAGCUGCUGUUGUGGCUGAGGCUUCGCUCCACCCCCAGCGCCAGCACGGAGCAGAAUCCUGCAGUAGCUGAAUCCUGAGGCUUCCUUCAGCUUCGGGAUCCCGCGGUCCCGUUCCCCCCACCGCUCGUGCCCAUUCCCGGCCCUCCGCGCAGCUCUUGGCUGUCUGCGGACGCUUCCUGAUAAGGCAAACACCAGGCUGUUUUUAAUUUGCGCUCGCUGGCUGGUGCGCCUGGUGACCCUCAGCCCUGAGUGGUUCAGCGACCAGAUCCAGCACAGCUUGGGGGCGGGGCGGGAGAGGGAGCAGCUGGAGCGGAGGAAUCAAGACAGAGCCCCACUCAGAGCGCGUGGGCAGAGCGCGUGGGCAGAGCGCGUGGGUGGUCCUCCCCCAAGGGCGGCCGUGUCCGUGGGUUUUCCCAGCUCCAAGGUCGCGCUGGGAGUUCCCUGAGCUGUGAAGGCACCCAGGUUGCUCAGGAUAGGGCUACUACUCAGUUGGUGCUGGGCUGAUUGUUAAAAUACAAAGGAGCCAUUUGUAUCCUGCCCUGGCCUGUCAAUCAGAGGGACUCCAGGCCCUCCAUCCCCUCUGAUUGGGCAGGGCUCAGCUGGCCUGGUUGUCCCAUAGUUUGUUUUUGUUUUAAGAUAGGAGAGUGUAAAGAGUUGGGGGUGGGGGCUGAGUUAGAGAGAGAGAGAGAGAGACAGAUCUUGCAUCUGCUGGUUCACUCCCCAAUUCGGCCACAAUGGCCAUAGUUGGCCUAGGCCAAAGCCAGGAGCUAGAAACUCCAUCUGGACCUCCCACGUGGGUGGCAGGACCCGAGCACCUGGUCAUCCUCUACUGCCUUCCCAGUGUGUGGGAGGGAGCUGGAUGGGAAGUGGAGGAGCUGGGAGUCUUUCGGGGCUCCCACAUGGGGUGCCGAUGUCGCAGGCUGCAGUUUCACGUGCCUGGUCGGCUUGUUAAAGGUUUUCACCGUGGGCCCUGGUGUCGGGAGUCCUGGCUCCACGGUAAAGUAAAGGGUUGGCUGAGCAGCUUCCGUGCCUGCUUCGAGCCUCUGUCCUCGCAGACUGGAGCGUGGGGGCCAGCGGCAGGGUGUGAGUGAGGCGCUUAGCCCAGGGCACAGGCUCAGUGUUUGGUCCGUGGGAACUGGCGUGACUAAAAGACUCCGCAGGCUGCAAUCUCCCAGGAGCCCCGGGACCCCGGGGCUGUGUCCGCACUGGUGACGCCGGGGCGUCAGGCUGGCAUCCGGGACAGCUCCGAGCCCGUCUCUGGAGGCCUCUCCCAGGAAAAGUGCUGGUCGCUUAGGGGACCAGGCAGCUCCUUCAGCCAGGCGGGGAUUCUUGGAGAUUUCCCACAGCUGCUAGCCUUGGGCUGGGAUGUUCUUCCCAAAGGCCCUGCUCUGGGAGGUCUAGGAAUUUGCCUCUCAGAUUGGGGGCAGGGCAAGGACUGCAGCCUGGCUCUUUCCACUCCCAGCUUGGAUGAGCGACCAGGAAGGAGAGGAUGCUGAGAGCUAAAGCAGGUCUCCUUCUCCCUGCCGCGCGGGGUCGGCUCCACAGCUGAUCCUCUGCUGUGCCUGCUAAGAGGCUGUAGGUCUCCCCUUGUUUCAUCUUUCAGGGAAUCCCGUUGGGUCGGUGUUUGCAAGCCCAUCUUGUGGAUGAAGAAACUGAGACUUGAGGCUGAUGGGACUCAAUGAAGGGCUCAGCCAGUAGAGAGCAGAUCUGGAAUAUUAUUCAGUCUUCAUAAAGGACGGGGGGGGGGCUGACAUUUGCAAUGACAGGGAUGGAGGUCCGGGACGUUACACCAAGGGGCACAAGCCAGGCAGGGCGAGGGAAAUACUCACUUUUACGUAGAAUCUAAAGUUGCCAAACUCGAAGGAGGAGCAAGGAAGGCGGCGGCGGCCAGGGGCUAGGGGAAGGGCGGUCAGUGGGCUUAAGGAGUUUUCAGGUGUGCAAGAGGGGUAGGUUCUGGAGAUCCGAGAACAGCCAACAGCACUGUAACAUACAGCUGAAAUCCGCCACGAGGGUAGACUUUUUUUUUUUUUUUUUUUUUUUGACAGAGUGGACAGUGAGAGAGAGAGACAGACAGAAAAGUCUUCCUUUUGCCGUUGGUUCACCCUCCAAUGGCCGCCACGGCCCGGCACACAGCGCUGAUCCAAUGGCAGGAGCCAGGUACUUAUCCUGGUCUCCUAUGGGGUGCAGGGCCCAAGGCCUUGGGCCAUCCUCCACUGCACUCCCUGGCCACAGCAGAGAGCUGGCCUGGAAGAGGGGCAACCAGGACAGAAUCCGGCGCCCCAACCGGGACUAGAAUCCGGUGUGCCGGCGCUGCAAGGCGGAGGAUUAGCCUAGUGAGCCGCGGCGCCGGCUGAGGGUAGACCUUGAAUCUCCUCCACAUGCCUGCACACAUGGACGUGCACACACAGAGCGGGAGCAGUCUGGAAAUGCACACUCAGUUUCCGCAGUGCACUGUCUCCAUGGCAUUUCCCAGAGACCCCCUCAUCUGCAUGGAUUUCAACGUGUUUUUUUUGCACAACAUAAACUCAUCUUUGAAUUCCACUUUGCACAAACUUUUUGAGGAGCCUCCUAUACACAAUUUGAUGUGACCGUCACAUCGUGAUAAGGCUCAGCUGUCUUUGUAUUUUUUUAUGAAAAGAGCAGUAAGGGAUUGGAAGGAGGUGGAAAGCCCCUGUCUCCCUGGCUGGUUAGCGUCGCAGUGCAGUACAAUCCCUUCGCUUGUUUUUUGCCUUCCGCGCUCACACGCCUGUACCGUGCUUUGCUGCAGACGUUUCUGUCUUAGAUCAACUCGCUUUGGAUGAAGUUAAAUUCUCAUCACUGCAGAAGGCGAUCAGGAAGCCAGCCCAGUGACAGGCAGCUGGGGGUGAGCUCUGAGCUGACCCUGGUUGACUGCCCGAGGGCCUGGUGCUAAGUGCAGUCCCCUCUUUGUUAAAGGCACACAGUCACUCGGGCGAGCUGUCCGUCCCUUUAGAUGUAAGUGCAAGGGUUGAAAAGCUUGGAAGAGAAAUAACUUCCCAGCAGGCGGGGUCAGCCUGGAGGCCUGGAGCUGAGACGCCUGGGACAGGUCUAGUCCCGCCCCCUGGGCCUCAGUUUCUCCCUGUGGCUCUAUGACACUGCCACCUGUGCAGUGUCCUCACACCUGUCGGGAUGCUGACUGCCCUGCUAUUUUGAUUUUUUAAGAUUUAUUUUUUAGAAAGAGUGACGGAGAGAGAGAAAAAGAUCUUUCAUCUGCUGGUUCAUUCCCCAAAUGGUCACAACAGCCAGGGUGGGGCCAGGCCAAAGCCAGGAGCAAAGGGCUUUACCUGGGUCUCCCACAUAGGUGGUAGGGACUCAAGUCCCUGGGCCAUCAUCUACUGCCUUCCCCAGGCACAUUAGCAGGAAGCUGGAUUGGAAGCGGAGCAGCUGGGACUCGAACCAGUGCUCAAAUACGGGACGCUGGGCUCCCAAGCUGCAGCUUGACCAGCUGCGCCACAGUUCCGGCCCCUGCAACGCAGUGUUCACACCACCUCAAGCGUUAGGUGCUAUGGUCAUCCCCUCUGGCCUACCAGGAAGCAGCUGCAGAGAGGCAGGACCCCAGCCCCAAAGCUGACAGUCAGGAAGGGUCCACAUUGGAAAGCUGCUCCAUGAGCCUGCGAAGCCCACGCCUGGACGGCGGCCACCCUGGGACAGUGGACCGGGUGCCCGCUGGCUGGUGUGCAGAUGGUGAAGCAGAGCCAGCCCUGCCCAGGCAGCAGGAGGGAGGUCUGAACGUUUGGCUCCGGGUCUGUGUCAAAAGCUGGACUUGACAGAACCCCCCCUCCCCCGGGGUAUCUGGGCUCCUGUGACUCCAGAUUGCUGUUUGCAGCAAGAAAAACAAACACAAAGCCACCCUCCCUGGCCCUUCAGGGUGCCUUGCCUCAUGCCUUGGUUCAUCAAGAACCCUGCAUUGAGAACAGGCCGAGCCAGCCCUGCCCACUGCGAAGACCUCCGGUGACUGAACCCCGGCUUCCCCUCCACGACCUUUCGUGCAGUCUGAGUCUGCUGCCAGGGGCGGCCUCCGUGCAGCCCCGCGGUUGGCCACUCUGAGCCUGGAGACCAGGAUCCCAGUUGCAGCUCCCACUGCCACUCACCAGCUGGGUGCCCUUGCACCCUCUUUCUGGGCCUC